rnacentral:rRNA from 1 species
UACAGAGGUCCCAAGCGUUGUUCGGAUUCACUGGGCGUAAAGGGUGCGUAGGUGGCCAGGUAAGUUUGGUGUGAAAGCUCGGAGCUUAACUCCGAAAAGUCAUUGAAUACUAUCUGGCUGGAGGGUCGGAGGGGAGACUGGAAUUCUCGGUGUAGCAGUGAAAUGCGUAGAUAUCGAGAGGAACACCAGUGGCGAAGGCGAGUCUCUGGACGACUC